UACGUAGGCAGCAAGCGUUGUUCGGAGUUACUGGGCGUAAAGGGUGCGUAGGCGGCUUUUUAAGUCUGGUGUGAAAUCUCCCGGCUCAACUGGGAGGGUGCGCCGGAUACUGAGGGGCUAGAGUGUGGGAGAGGAAAGUGGAAUUCCUGGUGUAGCGGUGAAAUGCGUAGAUAUCAGGAGGAACACCGGUGGUGUAAACGGCUUUCUGGACCACGACUGACACUGAGGCACGAAAGCGUGGGUAGCAAACGGG
rnacentral:rRNA from 1 species